rnacentral:rRNA from 1 species
AGAGUUUGAUCCUGGCUCAGGAUGAACGCUAGCUACAGGCUUAACACAUGCAAGUCGAGGGGCAGCAUUUCAGUUUGCUUGCAAACUGGAGAUGGCGACCGGCGCACGGGUGAGUAACACGUAUCCAACCUGCCGAUAACUCGGGGAUAGCCUUUCGAAAGAAAGAUUAAUACCCGAUGGCAUAGUUCUUCCGCAUGGUGGAACUAUUAAAGAAUUUCGGUCAUCGAUGGGGAUGCGUUCCAUUAGGUUGUUGGCGGGGUAACGGCCCACCAAGCCUUCGAUGGAUAGGGGUUCUGAGAGGAAGGUCCCCCACAUUGGAACUGAGACACGGUCCAAACUCCUACGGGAGGCAGCAGUGAGGAAUAUUGGUCAAUGGGCGAGAGCCUGAACCAGCCAAGUAGCGUGAAGGAUGACUGCCCUAUGGGUUGUAAACUUCUUUUAUAAAGGAAUAAAGUCGGGUAUGGAUACCCGUUUGCAUGUACUUUAUGAAUAAGGAUCGGCUAACUCCGUGCCAGCAGCCGCGGUAAUACGGAGGAUCCGAGCGUUAUCCGGAUUUAUUGGGUUUAAAGGGAGCGUAGAUGGAUGUUUAAGUCAGUUGUGAAAGUUUGCGGCUCAACCGUAAAAUUGCAGUUGAUACUGGAUAUCUUGAGUGCAGUUGAGGCAGGCGGAAUUCGUGGUGUAGCGGUGAAAUGCUUAGAUAUCACGAAGAACUCCGAUUGCGAAGGCAGCCUGCUAAGCUGCAACUGACAUUGAGGCUCGAAAGUGUGGGUAUCAAACAGGAUUAGAUACCCUGGUAGUCCACACGGUAAACGAUGAAUACUCGCUGUUUGCGAUAUACUGCAAGCGGCCAAGCGAAAGCGUUAAGUAUUCCACCUGGGGAGUACGCCGGCAACGGUGAAACUCAAAGGAAUUGACGGGGGCCC